UACGGGGGGGGGCAAGCGUUGUUCGGAAUUACUGGGCGUAAAGGGCUCGUAGGCGGCCAACUAAGUCAGACGUGAAAUCCCUCGGCUUAACCGGGGAACUGCGUCUGAUACUGGAUGGCUUGAGUUUGGGAGAGGGAUGCGGAAUUCCAGGUGUAGCGGUGAAAUGCGUAGAUAUCUGGAGGAACACCGGUGGCGAAGGCGGCAUCCUGGACCAACACUGACGCUGAGACGCGAAAGCGUGGGGAGCGAACAGG
rnacentral:rRNA from 1 species